CUGCGGUUAAAAGGCUCGUAGUUGAAACAAUUACUAUUCCCUUAAGGGGACCGUCUCCGGUUUUAGCUUUAUUGCGGCCUAUAGGCAGACGUUUAUUAACUCACCUAUGGCAAGUAUAUAUGUUAUAUGAUAUAGUAAUAGGGUCCCCGUCAUGCCCAUUGAACCAUCCCUGGAUUAAGGGGGGGUGUGAAAUGAUGAAUUCAUACGUUUUUGUUAUACAUUUGAUUCGGUUUAUUAGNNAUACCAUNNUUAUAAUACACNNAAUAAUCUGNCAAUAUCGCCCUCUAUUNUCUUUCUCCUCCGCCCGCCUAUNUNCCUUUNUANCCGCAG
rnacentral:rRNA from 1 species